rnacentral:rRNA from 1 species
CCUACGGGUGGCAGCAGUGGGGAAUAUUGCACAAUGGGGGAAACCCUGAUGCAGCGACGCCGCGUGAAGGAAGAAGUAUUUCGGUAUUUAAACUUCUAUCAGCAGGGGAGAAAAUGACGGUACCUGACUCAUAAGCCCCGGCUAAUUCCGUGCCAGCAGCCGCGGUAAUACGUAGGGGGCAAGCGUUAUCCGGAUUUACUGGGUGUAAAGGGAGCGUAGGCGGCGAUGCAAGUCAGAAGUGAAAGCCCGGGGCUCAACUCCGGGACUGCUUUUGAAACUGUAUGGCUAGAUUGCAGGAGAGGCAAGUGGAAUUCCUAGUGUAGCGGUGAAAUGCGUAGAUAUUAGGAGGAACACCAGUGGCGAAGGCAGCUUACUGGACUGUAAAUGACGCUGAGGCUCGAAAGCGUGGGGAGCAAACAGGAUUAGAUACCCGGGUAGUC